rnacentral:rRNA from 1 species
AUUGAACGCUGGCGGCAUGCUUUACACAUGCAAGUCGAACGGCAGCGCGGGCUUCGGCCUGGCGGCGAGUGGCGAACGGGUGAGUAAUACAUCGGAACGUGCCCAGUAGUGGGGGAUAGCUCGGCGAAAGCUGGAUUAAUACCGCAUACGACCUGAGGGUGAAAGCGGGGGAUCUUCGGACCUCGCGCUAUUGGAGCGGCCGAUGGCAGAUUAGCUAGUUGGUGGGGUAAAGGCCUACCAAGGCGACGAUCUGUAGCUGGUCUGAGAGGACGACCAGCCAAACUGGGACUGAGACACGGCCCAGACUCCUACGGGAGGCAGCAGUGGGGAAUUUUGGACAAUGGGCGAAAGCCUGAUCCAGCAAUGCCGCGUGUGUGAUGAAGGCCUUCGGGUUGUAAAGCACUUUUGGCGGGAACGAAAAGGACUGUGCCAAUACCACGGUUCGAUGACGGUACCCGCAGAAUAAGCACCGGCUAACUACGUG